ACUGACUUAAGAGGCAUUUUACCCUCCUCCAGCCCCGUGCCUGCAUCCUUGGUUGUUCCAGUGUAUCAGACAGCCACACACCCACCUGUCCCACCUCCCAUGCUACAGCAGAUUGCACAGGAUUGCAUCCAGAGUCCUUCACAUCAGGAGUACACAACACAAAUACCAUAGGAGAAGCCAUCCAGUCAGCUGCUGCUAUCAAGGAGCAAAUCUUACCAAGACUGGCACUAAUAUCUUCCUUUGGGGACAGAGACGGGAACAUAGAAAUACUGGUUUUCAAAUAAUCACAUGGUAGUUGUUUCCACAUGAAGCAUUUUGGAAGUAAGUAUUUAAUUGCAAUUCAGAUGAAGAUAAACAGCAAAUUUAGGUCUUUUCUAUACCUGAAACCAUCAGGUAUAUAUACUUAUGGAAUACCAAGAAUAUAUAGAGCCUAAGUGUAUGGAAACUUAUAAAAGUAACUGUAAUGAUAGUUCACAAUAUGAUAAUUACUUACUGGUAACCUUGCCAAGGAAACUAUAUGCUUUUUUUCAGGAAAAAUAUGAGGCAACAGCAAUUAGUAUAGACUUUUACUCCGUAUGUACAAAGAAUUAGUGCAGAGCAGAAAGUAAACCUCAUUUUUAUAUCAUUUAAUUAUUUCUAUAUUGCUCAUUUCUAUAACCCAUUUCUUCUUCUUAUGUAUAAGGAACAGACAACAUUUUUCACAAAUUUAACUGAAUGGCUGAAGGUACUGAAACUUCUGUGAAGACUGAUUUUAUUCUAAAGGCUGGUCAUUGAAAACAAGCAAGCUUGCCUUUUGUUGGGAGCUGCUGUUCCUGAAUCAUUCUCCUCAUACCUUGGCACCGCUCCAACUUCAUUGUAACCUUUGUUCCCUGCUUACCUGAGCGACAGUAGUGACUGCAAACUAAGAAACAUUGCUAAACCUACUUUGGGUCACCCACAAGUUUUUGGGCAUUACCCCAAUAUCAAUGGCUAUUAUGAGGACUUAGAUCUAAGUGAGUAAAAAUAAGGGUUAUAACUACUGACUAACAAAGUUGAAUUGUGGCUUAAUGAUCAAAACAGAACCAUAAGUUUAUGGAACAUGCACACACAUGUAAUUUUUCAAGAAGGAAGCAGGUUAAGAUGUUACCUUCUGAGUCUUGAUUUCACAAUGGAGGUCAUGCAAGAUUGCUAGUGGAGAUUCAUCUUCAUAGUCUUCAAGAUGAAUGUUCACAUAAAAGAGUUUAGAAAGUAAAAGAGGUGUCUUAGUGUCUUAGCAUGAAAAUAACAUUCUACAUGGGAAUGCAAUCUCCUGUAUUAGCAGAAGAGAGGCUGGCCAUGAGCUGUCAGUGUGCUCCCACAGCCCAGAAAGCCAAAUGUGUCCUGGGCUGCAUCCACUGGUGGGCAGCAAGGCCAGGGAGGGGAUUUUGCCCCUCUGCUCUGCUCAGCCCCCACCUGCAGCGCUGCAUCAGCUCUCCAGCACAUGUGCUCUCCAGCACAGGGAGAACAGGGACCUGUUGGAGCGAGUACAGAGGAGGGACACCAGGAUGAUUAGAGGGAUGGAGCUCCUCUCCUGCAAGGAAAGGCUGAGAGAAGUGGGAUUGUUCAGCCUGGAAGAGAGGCUGCUCCAGUAGCUGAAGGGAGCUUCCAGUACCUGAAAGAUGGAGAAAGACUUUUUUUACAAAGGCAUGUAGUGACAGGGCAAGGGGGAAUGGAUUCAGAGAAAGAGAGAGAAGAUUUAGAUUAGAUAUUAGGAGGAAGUUCUUUGCUGUGAGAAUGACGAGGCUCUGGAACAGGUUGCUCAGAGAAGCUGUGGAUGCCCUAUCUCUGGAAGUGUCCAUGCUCAGGUUGGAUGGGGCUCUGAGCAACUUGGUCUAGUGGAAGGUGUCCCUGCCCAUGGCAGGGGGUUGGAACUAGGUGAUCUUUAAGGUCUAGUCCAAUUCAAACCAUUUUAUGCUUCUAUAAUAUUAGAGAUGUUGGAAGCAUACAUUAGAGAAAGAGAGUCAAUAUAGACAAAAUCAAAGAGAACUAGUUCCUAUGAGGUACCUCACACAGCAAAAAACUGCUCUUUGUACAGUGUGUUAGACUCCACAGAGAAACUGCCUGGGCUUCCACUUUAAUGUUGCAGCUAAUACUGUUGUCCUAGGGUGACGUUAUGGUGCUUGUAUCCCCAAUUGUGUGUUCUGUUUAUGCCUGAUUUUAUGUUCUGUGCCUUCAGGACUGACUCUGAAAGUGAAGGAUUGUUUUGUCUUGUUAUCAGCCAGCUCACCUCCCCCCAUGCUCUGCGUCUAGGAGAGGCUGGACUUGCUUGCUUGCUUGCUUUUGCUUAUUAGUUAGUUUAGCUAGGCAGUCCAAUUUUUACCCUGGACUGUUUCUUUUUCCCUUUCCUGAAUAUCAUCUGAACCUGCCCUGGAGCUGGACCUGGGAAACACCAAGAAACACCGAGAGCCUGCAUUUUGUGACCUGCAGCAGCCAUCCCCAGCGCAGGAGACCGAGAACUGGGCAACCACUCCCAGGAGAGAUUUUUCUGAAUUUGUCAUCUCUUCAGAACGGUGAAAGAGUUUUGUCAUCUGGUGUUGUUUUUUGUACUGGGGAGUGUUUUGCUUGUUAAAUAAAUAGGUUUUUUUUCCCCACUUCUCUCUGAGGAAAUUCUUCCCGAACCAGGUGGGGGGGGUUUGCUUUCUGGGGGCUCCUUCCGGAGGUCUUCUCCCAAAUUUGCCAAAUCUAGGACAACUGUAUAUGACAGAUAUUGAUAAAACAAGUACGACCCUGGGCUGUCAAGAAUUACUUGUGUUAAAUUUUUUUCCUUAAAGAGGUUGGAUAAGAGGAUUCCUUAAAUCGGAAAAAAGUGAUAUAGAGACCAAUGAAAAACAAAUCUCAGCAGAAAAUUGAAUUCUUCCAUUGUAUUUGCACAUAGGCAGAUGCAUUGCUCACUUACACAAGGCAGCAGACAUGACAUUUUUCACUGGAAACCAAGGCUAAUGGAAACAGUAUAACAGAGGACACCUGCUAAGUGACAAGACAUAGCAUAGAGAGAGAGAACAUCCCCCGCAAAUGUUUUCCUAUAUCGAUCCGCAAAAAGAAGAAAAAGAAGCAAGAACACGAUUCUCAUUUCAUCUCAGUCAUUCUGUUUUUCUCCGUGAUAAAAAAACUCAGCCACACACCCACAGAAGAGCUCAGAAAGACAACGAGACGAGGAGGAGCCCAAGCAAUUCCCAGCCGAGCAAUUCCCAGGCUGACCUCCCACCAAAGGCGCUCCCAGAGGAGCACGGGGGACAGCGGCAGGCAGGAACGCAAACCGAGCAAGGAGCCCCGAGGAACAACUGCGAAGCCACCAGGCCCAGGCGUGCGGCCCAGGGCCGCGGGCUGC